rnacentral:rRNA from 1 species
AUGAACGCUAGCUACAGGCUUAACACAUGCAAGUCGAGGGGCAGCAUGAACUUAGCUUGCUAAGUUUGAUGGCGACCGGCGCACGGGUGAGUAACACGUAUCCAACCUGCCGAUGACUCGGGGAUAGCCUUUCGAAAGAAAGAUUAAUACCCGAUGGCAUAGUUCUUCCGCAUGGUGGAACUAUUAAAGAACUUCGGUCAUCGAUGGGGAUGCGUUCCAUUAGGUUGUUGGCGGGGUAACGGCCCACCAAGCCUUCGAUGGAUAGGGGUUCUGAGAGGAAGGUCCCCCACAUUGGAACUGAGACACGGUCCAAACUCCUACGGGAGGCAGCAGUGAGGAAUAUUGGUCAAUGGACGAGAGUCUGAACCAGCCAAGUAGCGUGAAGGAUGACUGCCCUAUGGGUUGUAAACUUCUUUUAUACGGGAAUAAAGUGAGGCACGUGUGCCUUUUUGUAUGUACCGUAUGAAUAAGGAUCGGCUAACUCCGUGCCAGCAGCCGCGGUAAUACGGAGGAUCCGAGCGUUAUCCGGAUUUAUUGGGUUUAAAGGGAGCGUAGGCGGACGCUUAAGUCAGUUGUGAAAGUUUGCGGCUCAACCGUAAAAUUGCAGUUGAUACUGGGUGUCUUGAGUACAGUAGAGGCAGGCGGAAUUCGUGGUGUAGCGGUGAAAUGCUUAGAUAUCACGAAGAACUCCGAUUGCGAAGGCAGCCUGCUGGACUGUAACUGACGCUGAUGCUCGAAAGUGUGGGUAUCAAACAGGAUUAGAUACCCUGGUAGUCCACACAGUAAACGAUGAAUACUCGCUGUUUGCGAUAUACAGUAAGCGGCCAAGCGAAAGCGUUAAGUAUUCCACCUGGGGAGUACGCCGGCAACGGUGAAACUCAAAGGAAUUGACGGGGGCCCGCACAAGCGGAGGAACAUGUGGUUUAAUUCGAUGAUACGCGAGGAACCUUACCCGGGCUCAAACGCAGGGGGAAUAUAUAUGAAAGUAUAUAGCUAGCAAUAGUCACCUGCGAGGUGCUGCAUGGUUGUCGUCAGCUCGUGCCGUGAGGUGUCGGCUUAAGUGCCAUAACGAGCGCAACCCUUAUCGAUAGUUACCAUCAGGUUAUGCUGGGGACUCUGUCGAGACUGCCGUCGUAAGAUGUGAGGAAGGUGGGGAUGACGUCAAAUCAGCACGGCCCUUACGUCCGGGGCUACACACGUGUUACAAUGGGGGGUACAGAAGGCAGCUACACGGCGACGUGAUGCUAAUCCCGAAAGCCUCUCUCAGUUCGGAUUGGAGUCUGCAACCCGACUCCAUGAAGCUGGAUUCGCUAGUAAUCGCGCAUCAGCCACGGCGCGGUGAAUACGUUCCCGGGCCUUGUACACACCGCCCGUCAAGCCAUGAAAGCCGGGGGUACCUGAAGUGCGUAACCGCAAGGAGCGCCCUAGGGUAAAACUGGUGAUUGGGGCU